rnacentral:rRNA from 1 species
UACGUAGGGUGCAAGCGUUGUCCGGAAUUAUUGGGCGUAAAGAGCUCGUAGGCGGUCUGUCGCGUCGGCUGUGAAAACCCGGGGCUCAACCCCGGGCCUGCAGUCGAUACGGGCAGACUAGAGUGCGGUAGGGGAGACUGGAAUUCCUGGUGUAGCGGUGGAAUGCGCAGAUAUCAGGAGGAACACCGAUGGCGAAGGCAGGUCUCUGGGCCAUUACUGACACUGAGAAGCGAAAGCAUGGGGAGCGAACAGG